UAUUUUUGCACUGAAUUUGGUUUUGUCACUUUCACGGUGACUAAAUUAAAAGGGAAUCCAGUGAAAAUCUGGUACUGUUCCCGCAACUGUAAGUUUAUGCCAAACUUGAUUUGGCACCUCUAUAAAAGAGGGUGUUGUUUUCUUCAAAGUCACUGUCCGUAGAUGGAUGGGAAGGCGAAAUAACAUUGAACAAGUCAGGAGACCUGCCAACUUCAAACAAACAUU
rnacentral:ncRNA from 2 species